GGCUGGUCCGAUGGUAGUGGGUUAUCAGAUUAACAUCAGUGUUACUAAAGUUGGUAUACAACCCCACACUGCUAAACUUGACUGGCUUUUA
rnacentral:Y_RNA from 1 species